UACGGAGGAUCCAAGCGUUAUCCGGAUUUAUUGGGUUUAAAGGGUGCGUAGGCGGCCUGUUAAGUCAGGGGUGAAAGACGGUAGCUUAACUAUCGCAGUGCCCUUGAUACUGAUGGGCUUGAAUAUACUUGAGGUAGGCGGAAUGUGACAAGUAGCGGUGAAAUGCAUAGAUAUGUCACAGAACACCAAUUGCGAAGGCAGCUUACUAAGGUAUGAUUGACGCUGAGGCACGAAAGCGUGGGGAUCAAACAGG
rnacentral:rRNA from 1 species